UUGGAAUGUAGUUUAAUUUAAAAAUUUUAAUUUUGUAAAUUAAAGAUAGAUUAUAUUAAUUUUAUUCUAAG
rnacentral:tRNA from 1 species